UCCGAUAUGGUGUAGUGGCUAACAUUAUCGCCUCUCAACAACAACAGAUGAUGACGCGAUAGCCCGGGGUUCGAUUCCCCGUGUCGGAA
rnacentral:tRNA from 1 species